UGUAGGAGCCGGCUUGCUGGCGAUCAGGCCUUUGAGAUCACCGGUGGAAAUCGGGCCGCCAUCGCCAGCAAGCCGGCUCCUACA
rnacentral:misc_RNA from 1 species